ACGGAAGGCAGCAGUGGGGAAUAUUGCACAAUGGGCGAAAGCCUGAUGCAGCGACGCCGCGUGAGCGAAGAAGUAUUUCGGUAUGUAAAGCUCUAUCAGCAGGGAAGAUAAUGACGGUACCUGACUAAGAAGCACCGGCUAAAUACGUGCCAGCAGCCGCGGUAAUACGUAUGGUGCAAGCGUUAUCCGGAUUUACUGGGUGUAAAGGGAGCGCAGGCGGUACGGCAAGUCUGAUGUGAAAGCCCGGGGCUCAACCCCGGUACUGCAUUGGAAACUGUCGAACUAGAGUGUCGGAGGGGUAAGUGGAAUUCCUAGUGUAGCGGUGAAAUGCGUGGAUAUUAGGAGGAACACCAGUGGCGAAGGCGGCUUACUGGACGAUAACUGACGCUGAGGCUCGAAAGCGUGGGGAGCAAACAGGAUUAGAUACCCUGGUA
rnacentral:rRNA from 1 species